AACCCAGCCGUUACUGUAGCAACAUUUAUAAAGCCCAACACUGUAGCACGGGUACUGUAGUAGCCCGAAAAUACUUUUCUUCCCUUCUAAAAGUUUCAGCCUCUCUCUUCCAUUUUCCAUUCAUUCUUGUUGGAAACCCUAACCAUUUGCUUCUCCUCUUCUUACUUUUGAUGGUUAAAGGUAGAUUAAUAGGAGUAGAGAGGAUGAGAAGAGAAGAUGGCAAGGUACUCGACUUUUAGGUUGUGCUUAAGACCUUGUUGAUCAGCCAGUGCUAGGAUGGAUCCAUUAGGGUUGUCGU